rnacentral:rRNA from 1 species
AACGCUAGCGGCAGGCCUAACACAUGCAAGUCGAGGGGUAACAGGGAGAAGCUUGCUUUUCCGCUGACGACCGGCGCACGGGUGCGUAACGCGUAUACAAUCUGCCUUAUACUGGGGUAUAGCCUUUAGAAAUGAAGAUUAAUCCCCCAUAGUCUCUUAGAGUGGCAUCAUUUUAGGAGUAAAGGUUACGGUAUAAGAUGAGUAUGCGUUCUAUUAGUUUGUUGGUGAGGUAGCGGCUCACCAAGGCUACGAUAGAUAGGGGCCCUGAGAGGGGGAUCCCCCACACUGGUACUGAGACACGGACCAGACUCCUACGGGAGGCAGCAGUGAGGAAUAUUGGACAAUGGAGGCAACUCUGAUCUAGCCAUGCCGCGUGCAGGAAGACUGCCCUAUGGGUUGUAAACUGCUUUUAUAUAGGAAGAAACCUACUUACGUGUAAGUAGCUGACGGUACUAUAAGAAUAAGGAUCGGCUAACUCCGUGCCAGCAGCCGCGGUAAUACGGAGGAUCCAAGCGUUAUCCGGAAUCAUUGGGUUUAAAGGGUCCGUAGGUGGAUAAUUAAGUCAGAGGUGAAAUCUUGCAGCUCAACUGUAAAAUUGCCUUUGAUACUGGUUAUCUUGAGUUACUAUGAAGUAGUUAGAAUAUGUAGUGUAGCGGUGAAAUGCAUAGAUAUUACAUAGAAUACCAAUUGCGAAGGCAGAUUACUAAUUAUCAACUGACACUGAUGGACGAAAGCGUGGGUAGCGAACAGGAUUAGAUACCCUGGUAGUCCACGCCGUAAACGAUGGUUACUAGCUGUUUGGACCUUGUGUCUGAGUGGCUAAGCGAAAGUGAUAAGUAACCCACCUGGGGAGUACGUUCGC